UCUGUCAUAGCUGGUGCUUACUUUGUUUCUUCAGAUAAACAGUACUUUUUUCUUGCCUUCUAGUAUGCUUUGUAUUUUUUGGUGGUUGUUGAAAUCCAGAAAUGAUGUAUCAGAUAAUAAGAACUCAGGCAAAUAGACCUUUAGUGUGAGGCUUUAUGUUAAUCUGGCUAGGAGUUGGGCUGUGUUUAAUGUUUUUUAUAGCUGUAGGUGUUGAAAGCUUCAAAUUCUUUCAGUGUCCUUGUUUCUUCCCACUGUUGUUUUGGGUUUCCUUAAGAACUCCCUCUUAAAUAGGGCCUGUGCCUUGCAGCUCUUUCAACUAUAAUCUAGUUCCUACCCUGGGGCCCUGUUGAUAUGGCAGUAAGGUGUGUGGGGGGAAAACAUUUUAUAAUCUUAUUAUUAAAUCUCAGUCUUUUAGUGAGGCUGUGUCCCUGAGGUGACUUUUAGAAUGUUUCUUAGUUUUUUUUUUUACUCCCUACCUCCAUGCUCCCUGCCCAGCAGGUGAGACAGGAAGGCUGGAGGGUUAGGGGAGGAUUUGUGUAAUGACCCUUCCCAUGAGGUGGUGUAAGACUCUGGUAAAAAAAUCUUUCCUCUGUAAUGGCGUUUGCUAUGAAGAACAUUCUGGACAUAUUUCAAAAUGGUUAUAUUUACCCUCUGCUGCAAGAGACAUGAGGAGAUUUUUCUUGGUUCUUCAUCAUGAGAAGCUAGUGUGGGAGCCUCCCAAUACUGUGGCCCCUUGGAAUCUCUCAUUCUCACACUAGUUCAUACUUAGCUUCCAGCAAUCUGUUAAAAUUACCAUUUAAGAGUUCCUCUCAGUUUAUGGCUCCAGAAGCUUCUGCCCCAGGUGAGCUGGUAUCAGAAAAGCUGUGCUUUUCUGGAUUUGCUUGUAUUGCCAGGUUUCUAGGCAGUGCAUUGCCCAGAGGCCUCAAUUCUCUAAUGGGUCCAAGAAAAGUUGUUGAUUUUCAGUUUGUUCAGAUUUUUUCUUGUUGUAUGUAUGGGAGUAAUGUCUACCAGCUUUUUACAUGUUGGAGCUAAAAUUAUAAGUCCUAACACAUUUAUUUUAAUUUAUUUGGGAUCAUUCUUUGUCCUGGCUUGUAUACUGAUAUGAAAAACCCCUUGAACUUUCAUUUAUCAUUAAGAAUGUUCCCAUGUUAUGAAAAUUCCAUAUAAAUAUCAUUUAAAAUAUUUUCUAAAUCCCUACAUCUGCUCUGGACCAAUGCUGUCCAGUAAAACUUUCUGUGAUGAUGGAAAUGUUCUAAUAUGUGCUGUUUCUAGAGUGGCCACUAGCCACACGUGGUUACUGAGUACUGAAAAUGUGUCUAGUGCAACUGAGGAACUGGAUUUUUAAUUUUACUUAUUUUUAAUUAAUUUAAAUUUAAAUAGCCAUGUAUGGCCAGUGGCUACUGGAUUAGACAGCACAACUCUUGACAUACCAGCUUUUCUUAGGAGCUUCUUUUAAAAGCUUGAACUCACAAGUGUUUUUUUUUCCCCUUCUGGGACCUUCACGUAUGUUCUUUGCUUUGCAUGGGAUGAGCUUCCCCAGACUCAUUUCAUGAAAAACUUUUUCUAUCCUAGAAGCUUCUCUACGUAUUCCUUCCUCAGAUUGGUCUUCCCUGGCCCCUCAGUCUAUAGAAGGUUAGUUUCCCCUAUUAUUCUUGCUCAUAAAAACCUCCUUGCCUUUUUUAUAUUUACCCCAACUGACAAUUAUACUCACGUGUAUGCAUCUUAAAUGUCUGUUUCUUCCACCAAGUUAUCAGCUCCGUGAAGACAGAUAUCACACUUGAAUCAUUCAUCAUUGUGUCUCUGGGGUCCAGAACAACUUCAGCAAUCAAAGGCAAAACAGUGAGUGGGGUUGUUUGUGCAACUACCAGGACAACACAACAAGAACCAACGAGUUACUUGUUCUCGUUAUGUUUUGUUUUCUUUGACAGGAAUUAAAACACACAUUCCGAUUUCAACCUCCAUGAUAUUGCUUAUGGUUAAACAAAAUUGAACAAAUAAUUUAAGAACUUUGGAAUUUCUCCUACAUUGCCCCAGGGUGAAACCUGGCAAAGGUUUGAAGACAAUGGUGGUAGGUGUGAGUGGAGAGGUAGGUGGGACGGAGUUAGCAGGCAAGCUUUAGCUUUCUUCUUCAUUGAAAGGAUUUACUCCUUCCAGUUUUCCAGCUUUGUUCUAGAAUUGUCACUGAAUUCUUUCUUUCCUACUAACAUGUCUCACAGCUGCUCUUUCUUGUUUCUUUACCAUUGUUUAAUUUAUUUUCACUUGAUAAAGCUAUUUUCCUCCUUCCUUUCUAUUUCUACUCUACUAGAACAACUUCCCUUAACUCACAGGAACUUGGCUCCUUCACUUCACCUGCCUUUGCAAAUCCUGAGCAAGCCUUGCCCUUCUCUCCAUUCUCCUCUCUCUAUUUCAGUCUUCUAGACAGCUUUGUCUUUAUAAUAUUUUCAAAAGUGAAAUAAAUCAUCUAAGAGGAUCAUCACUUUGUUAUCUCCGAGUUCUUCACCCUUUUCUCAAUCCCCAUAUAUGUGGGGACAGGGCAAUUCUUGAUUUAAAAAACUCAGUGCUCCUUGUUAUGAUGAGCACUGGGAGUUGCAUGUAAGUGAUGAACCACUGCAUUCUACUCCUGAAACCAAUAUUGCACUGUAUGUUCGCCAACUAGAAUUUAAACAAAAAUUAGAAAAAAGAAAAAAAAAGCCCUCAUUGCUCAAUGUUCUUUGCUCAAAAUCCUCCCUCAAGACAGUUCAUUUCUACUCCAUUUCACACUCAAAAUCUCGUCCUUGAUAUUUUCAGGCAACAUACCUAUGAUUAAGCACAAGUAGUAGAUAUUCUUUUAUAGAUAGAUCACACUUUCCAAUCUAAAUUUUCUUACACAUGAUUUUUUCCCAACACUCUGUAAGCUAUACAGGACAGAGAUCAUUGCCUUCAUUUUACUCCUCAAGAAGCUGAGGCAUAGAAAGAUUUACUCUUUAGAAUUUGUCAGCAGAAGAAGGUGGAUUUUGAUUGAAGUUUAUAGACGCAGGUCAGUGAGGAAAUGGAAAUCCCCAGUUGUCAGGGGUUACAGAGACAGCCAGUUCCCUCUAGAAGUGCUUUCUUCCCUUGGCUCCACUCAGAGACUUCUCUGGAGGCAAUGCUAGGUGAGUUUGCCUGGUACCAACAAAGACUUCCUCCAUACAUGAAUGGAAAGUAUUAAAGCCCAGGGGGCAUACGCGAAACCUGGAAGGAAGUAGGAAAGCAACCAGGACAGGAGGACAGUGGGAGGGGGAAGGAGAAUAAGUGACAGAGGAGGAAAAAGGUGCGAAAUAAUUGCCCCCUAAUUGGUCCUUAUGAAAAUUUGAUAUAUGAAAAUUCCUACUUGAAAAUGAGAUAAAUAAAGAGGUAAUUAUUUGCAUUACAAAUUAACUCUUCACUUCAAAAGAGUAUUUACCACAGGUGUGAUUCUGUGAUGUGAACAUUUAGAAAGGAAUAUGACUUGGGGGAGGGAGGAGAUUUAAACAAUAAAAUCCUGAUUAUAUAAUAUAAUAGGAAAUAAUCCGCAGAUAAAGGGGGAGACAUCUAAAGAAAGACGUCGUUGUACAGGGAGCUCUCUGCAGAGCUCAGGUUUUUAAAACGUACAUGAACAAAAGACAGAGAGAAAGGAUUAUAGAUAAGCUUAAACACAAAAGAUUAUCAUGCACCUUCAAGAACAAAAUAAAGGAGGCUAAAGUCAGGAAUAAACCUAGCUUUACAAGAAGUGCUAAAGGCUGCUAUAAGGAUGUGAAAGCUUUGCUUAGAGUUGAGAGAACAAAUGUGGGGCAACUUGCUCUUUGAGUAAGUGAGGUGGUGCAAUGUUAACAGAAGUUAGGUAGUUUUUACGUUUUUCUAUUAUUUAUUUUGCUUCUGUCUUUUCCAAGGUGCAAAAAGACAAGGAAAUUGGAUUUUUCUUAGAGAGAUGAUGUGGAAGGAGUGUAUUGAUAUUAGCCCACCUGGGCAAGGAAUGGAGAUUCCCAGGGUCUGGUCAUCAAAGACAAGAGAAGACGUGGGGGCCCCUAGGUCAGAUUUGGGAGAAAGCUGGGGAGAAGACAUAGGAGAGGGACAAAGCCAGGAGGAUGGUGAUCUGUCUCUUCCUCCACAAUCUGCUCAGAUCUUGAGUAAAUUCCACUAAAACUUACUAACUGCUUAGUUUAAGUGUAUUUCUUAUGGAAAUAGAAGAUGGAACUCAGCCUGGCUCCCAAGGGGACCUGGGGAAAAUGAAAACCAACUUCCAGAUGCUGGGGCCAGAGGAAAGGGACAGCAGGAUACACCACCUUCGAUUUUGAAAGGAAGGUGCAAUGAGAAUUGAAGUCCCACGUGAGUGAGAAUAAGUGGAUUUAAGUUUCUAGCGCUAGAGGAAUUAAGUGCCAGGAAAUGGAAGUCGUGUGCAGUGUAGAGGGGUUCUCAGAGCCACUAACAGUCAUCUAUUGGUGAUGACUGCUAAUGGAAGAAGUGCCUAAAGGCUGAAGCUUUUCACAAAGGGGAACAGGUUAGAGUCUACCAAAUGUGGAUCGGUAAGCCCUGACAUACAUUCUACUGCAGACGAUUAGUAUAAACUGAAGCCAAUCACAGUAUUCCAUUCGCUUUGCCGGUGUGGAUUUUAGAGUGCAACAGUGACUUACUCCUGGUUCAUAAGACACAAGCAGAAGUCUGCGAGGGAUAACAGACAAAGAAAUGACACGAAGAAGAGGAGAGAGGGUCUGCUGCUGGUGGACAUCGUUGUGUGGUAUAGGACUCCUGGAACUACCCCAUCAUUACCUUGUACUAAUGGAGGUAGGGGGUGAGGAGCCAGCUUGAGCGCAGAGCCAAUACAAGAUUCCCCUGGGAUCUGAAAGACACAUCUUGCUAACAGAUGCACGAAAGAAAUCAAGAUAAAGCACGGAUGCUCACAGACACCGUUCAGAGCUCUGACAGCUGGCUGCUGAGAUGCUGUAAGGAGUUCCUGGGGAAGGAGUUUGGCGGGGCCAUUCUGGCUGCCCCAAGUGCGUGCAUCCUCUGUAAUGGCUGGCUACAACACCAGCUCUGAACGCUAUUUUUGCUUUUCACCUUUUUUUUUUAAUAGAAGAGAAAAUCCUCUCUGGAUUUCUUUGGUUAGCAAAAACAGGUACUUAUGAAGGUCUUUGUGAAAGCAAAAUGGCAUAACUUGAAAUUUCAAAAAGCGGGGGAUACCUGUACUCUGAGGUGAGCAGAGAGGUGACUGGAAAGAGCCUAAGUCCAUGAUGACGUUGAUAAGCCACUGAAUCUGCCAAUCCGAAGCUCAUACUACUUAGAGUGUUCUUCAUAAGUGAGAAUAGUAAACUUGCUCCUUAAAGCAAUUGGAGACAGGGUUUUCUCCCAUUUGGGGCAAAGAAAUCCUAGCUGAUACAAUGGUAUACAUUGAAUUCAACAAAACAUUUUACAGACAUUUUCAUAGCAUCCUUGAUAUAAAGCUAAAUUGGGGCUAGACAACAAUGGCAAGUUGUAUUUAUGGAUGGCCAAAAGAGUGGUGAUAACCAGUGCAUAUCCUACAAACAUUGUUUGACUCUAAAGAUUCGAGCCUCAAUGUUCUAUCAAUAACCUGACCACAUUCCCUUUGAUAUCUUCUUCCAUCUGAAGGUAAUUCAAAUCUCAAAUCCAGUCUAAGGCAGAAGAUAGAGUUAUGAUUCAAAGUGACUUUGCAAGCUAGAAUGCUAGGAUACAACCAACAAGUUGAAUAGAUGACAAAUACAAGAUCCAGCACUGGCUCCAAAAAUCUAGGACACAUCUUAGGACACAGAAGUUCAAGAUGAGAGAGACUUGGUUUAGUAGAACUUUAAUGGAAGACAUCUGGGAACUUUAGAGAAAGAGCGAGAGACAGAGAGCGAGAGCCAGAGAGCACAAGUAGGAGGAGCGG